rnacentral:rRNA from 1 species
GAUGAACGCUGGCGGCGUGCCUAAUACAUGCAAGUCGAGCGAACAGACGAGGAGCUUGCUCCUCUGACGUUAGCGGCGGACGGGUGAGUAACACGUGGAUAACCUACCUAUAAGACUGGGAUAACUUCGGGAAACCGGAGCUAAUACCGGAUAAUAUAUUGAACCGCAUGGUUCAAUAGUGAAAGACGGUUUUGCUGUCACUUAUAGAUGGAUCCGCGCCGCAUUAGCUAGUUGGUAAGUUAACGGCUUACCAAGGCAACGAUGCGUAGCCGACCUCAGAGGGUGAUCGGCCACCCUGGAACUGAGACACGGUCCAGACUCCUACGGGAGGCAGCAGUAGGGAAUCUUCCGCAAUGGGCGAAAGCCUGACGGAGCAACGCCGCGUGAGUGAUGAAGGUCUUCGGAUCGUAAAACUCUGUUAUUAGGGAAGAACAAAUGUGUAAGUAACUAUGCACUUCUUGACGGUACCUAAUCAGAAAGCCACGGCUAACUACGUG